rnacentral:tRNA from 1 species
ACCUAUAUAGUUUAAAAAACAUUACAUUUUCAUUGUAAAAUUAAAACAACUGUUUUUAUAAGUA